GGAAUAUAGCUCAGUUGUAGAGUGUUUGCUUCGCAUGCACAAUGCCCUGGGUUCAAUCCCUAGCACCA
rnacentral:tRNA from 1 species